AUUGAACGCUGGCGGCAGGCCUAACACAUGCAAGUCGAGCGGGGUUUUCGGACCUAGCGGCGGACGGGUGAGUAAUGCGUAGGAAGCUACCCGAUAGAGGGGGAUACCAGUUGGAAACGACUGUUAAUACCGCAUAAUGUCUACGGACCAAAGUGUGGGACCUUCGGGCCACAUGCUGUCGGAUGCGCCUACGUGGGAUUAGCUAGUUGGUGAGGUAAUGGCUCACCAAGGCGACGAUCCCUAGCUGGUUUGAGAGGAUGAUCAGCCACACUGGAACUGAGACACGGUCCAGACUCCUACGGGAGGCAGCAGUGGGGAAUAUUGGACAAUGGGCGCAAGCCUGAUCCAGCCAUGCCGCGUGUGUGAAGAAGGCCUUCGGGUUGUAAAGCACUUUCAGUAGGGAGGAAGGGUUAAGUGUUAAUAGUACUUAACUUUGACGUUACCUACAGAAGAAGCACCGGCUAACUCUGUGCCAGCCGCCGCGGUAACAC
rnacentral:rRNA from 1 species